UGGCCGUCCGAGUUGUAAUCUAGAGAAGUGUUACCCGUGCCGGACCGUGUAUAAGUCUCCUGGAAUGGAGCGUCAUAGAGGGUGAGAAUCCCGUCUUUGACACGGACUACCGGUGCAUUGUGGUGCUCUCAAAGAGUCGAGUUGUUUGGGAAUGCAGCUCAAAAUGGGUGGUAAAUUCCAUCUAAAGCUAAAUAUUGGCGAGAGACCGAUAGCGAACAAGUACCGUGAGGGAAAGAUGAAAAGAACUUUGGAAAGAGAGUUAAACAGUACGUGAAAUUGCUGAAAGGGAAACGCUUGGAGUCAGUCGCGUUGGCCGGAAAUCAACCUUGCUUCUGCUUGGUGUACUUUCUGGUUGACGGGCCAGCAUCAGUUUUGACCGGUGGAAAAAGUUCAAGGGAAUGUGGCAUCUCCGGAUGUGUUAUAGCCCUUGUUCGUAUGCAUCGGUUGGGACUGAGGAAUUCAGCACGCCGCAAGGCCGGGUUUCGACCACGUUCGUGCUUAGGAUGCUGGCAUAAUGGCUUUAAUCGACCCGUCUUGAAACACGGACCAAGGAGUCUAACAUGCCUGCGAGUGUUUGGGUGGAAAACCCGAGCGCGUAAUGAAAGUGAAAGUUGGGAUCCUUGUCAUGGGGAGCACCGACGCCCGGACCAGACGUACUCUGACGGCUCCGCGGUGAAGCAUGUAUGUUGGGACCCGAAAGAUGGUGAACUAUGCCUGAAUAGGGUGAAGCCAGAGGAAACUCUGGUGGAGGCUCGUAGC
rnacentral:rRNA from 1 species